rnacentral:rRNA from 1 species
UACGUAGGGUGCGAGCGUUAAUCGGAAUUACUGGGCGUAAAGCGUGCGCAGGCGGUUCGUUAAGUCAGAUGUGAAAGCCCCGGGGCUCAACCUGGGAACUGCAUUUGAAACUGGCGGGCUUGAGUGUGGCAGAGGGAGUGGAAUUCCGCGUGUAGCAGUGAAAUGCGUAGAGAUGCGGAGGAACACCGAUGGCGAAGGCAGCCCCCUGGGCCAACACUGACGCUCAGGCACGAAAGCGUGGGGAGCAAACAGG